CUUUCGUUGAUGAUGGACAGGUUGAACCAAAAUCUGGUUCCAAAUCCAGUUGGUUUUGUCUUGUAUUUCUUACUAGUUGAUAUAUUGGUCAGUCUGCUUUCUGUUGCAAGUGAUAAACCUCAAAUUAGCUUAAUUUUUAAAAAAGGAAUUCAUUGACUUGUGUAAUAAAAAAGUUCAGGGAUACAUCUAACUUCAGGCACGAUGUCAUCAAGAAACGGUCCCUCUUCAUCUCUUGACUGCCUGUUUUUGUUUUUGUUUUCUGUGUUGCCUUUAUUCUAGGCCUCUGUUCCAGUGAUGGCAAAGAUGACCCCAAGCUGCUCCAGACUCACGUGCCUUACUGCCUAUGCUUUGAAAACGACAGAGAGUGUUCCUUUCACAGAAAACCCUGUGGCCGGGUGUGGUGGCUCAUGCCUGUAAUCCCAGUACUUUGGGAGGCCAAGGUGGGCAGAUCACCUGAGGCAGCUCUGAAGAUGCAGCUAGAACAAGGACUAGAAAUCACAGACCGAUCUCUCAGGGAAGUCUCCUUCCCAGGCUGCUUCCCAGGCUCACCCAACCAGCAAGUCCAUUUGAAGCUGGAAGAUUCUGUGUCCAUUUGGGAGGUAGUCAACUAUGAAUUCCUCUCUCCACUUUGGCUGCUAUUGUCAGUGAGAAGCAGGAUGAAGAGGAGGCAGUUUGUCUGGACUGAGAUCCACGAACCCUGGGAAUCUGGAGGCAGAGGGUAUUGUUGAGAUGACCAGAAAGCAGCCAGUUGGCCCACAUCUAUUUCAUCAAGUCCUCAGCCCAGUGGAGGUUUGUGCUGCCCUCAGACACCAGUGACCUGGGAUUUCUGCAGUCAAGAGGGAGCUAAUAAUGGUGCCAGGGUCACUUGGGGGAAGAAGCAAGAGCAGGACUUAAGAUCUUUCCCCCAGUCUGAGCUCUUCAUGCCACCGCCAGCUGCUUCUGCCCCGGCUGGAAUCACCAACAUCCCACAGCCCCUCCUGGGCAGCUUCAGUUAGGAUGUCUAACUUCAGUUCCUGUUUUCGUUUGUUUGUGGAAACCAUACUCUCUGUUUUUUAAGAAAUCGUUUCUCACAGGAGGCUGAGGCAGGAGAAUCGCUUGAACUUGGGAGGAGGAGGUUGUGGUG
rnacentral:lncRNA from 1 species